GGCGGGCUGGAACCUCUCGGGGUUACAGCCUUGCUGAAUUAUUCACCCUUGUCUUUUGCGUACUUCUUGUUUCCUUGGUGGGUUCGCCCACCACUAGGACAAACAUAAACCUUUUGUAAUUGCAAUCAGCGUCAGUAACAAAUUAAUAAUUACAACUUUCAACAACGGAUCUCUUGGUUCUGGCAUCGAUGAAGAACGCAGCGAAAUGCGAUAAGUAGUGUGAAUUGCAGAAUUCAGUGAAUCAUCGAAUCUUUGAACGCACAUUGCGCCCUUUGGUAUUCCAAAGGGCAUGCCUGUUCGAGCGUCAUUUGUACCCUCAAGCUUUGCUUGGUGUUGGGCGUCUUGUCUCUAGCUUUGCUGGAGACUCGCCUUAAAGUAAUUGGCAGCCGGCCUACUGGUUUCGGAGCGCAGCACAAGUCGCACUCUCUAUCAGCAAAGGUCUAGCAUCCAUUAAGCCUUUUUUUCAACUUUUGACCUCGGAUCAGGUAGGGAUACCCGCUGAACUUAAGCAUAUCAAUAA
rnacentral:rRNA from 1 species